CCCUCCUACACAGGUGUGUCAGUGGUUUCCUGUCUGUGGACAUGUAAGAAUUGGAGGCAGAGGUGGACUUGGAGGAGUCUGGAGCCAGCUUGCUCCCCACAGGCCCAAGAUCAUCCUUUCCCAUAUAG
rnacentral:snoRNA from 1 species